CCUACGGGCGGCAGCAGUGAGGAAUAUUAGUCAAUGGGCGCGAGCCUGAACCAGCCAAGUCGCGUGAGGGAAGACGGUCCAAUGUAUUGUAAACCUCUUUUGUCGGGGAGCAAAAGCCGCCACGCGUGGCGUUCCGAGAGUACCCGAAGAAAAAGCAUCGGCUAACUCCGUGCCAGCAGCCGCGGUAAUACGGAGGAUGCGAGCGUUAUCCGGUUUUAUUGGGUUUAAAGGGUGCGCAGGCGGACGAUCAAGUCAGCGGUAAAAGUGAGAGGCUCAACCUCUUCGAGCCGUUGAAACUGGUUUUCUCGAGUGAGCGAGAAGUAUGCGGAAUGCGUGGUGUAGCGGUUAAAUGCAUAGAUAUCGCGCAGAACUACGAUUGCGAAGGCAGCAUACCGGCGCUCAACUGACGCUCAGGCACGAAAGUGUGGGUAUCGAACAGGAUUAGAUACCCGAGUAGUC
rnacentral:rRNA from 1 species